CUACGUGCCAGCAGCCGCGGUAAUACGUAUGUCACAAGCGUUAUCCGGAUUUAUUGGGCGUAAAGCGCGUCUAGGUGGUUAUGUAAGUCUGAUGUGAAAAUGCAGGGCUCAACUCUGUAUUGCGUUGGAAACUGUAUGACUAGAGUACUGGAGAGGUAAGCGGAACUACAAGUGUAGAGAUGAAAUUCGUAGAUAUUUGUAGGAAUGCCGAUGGGGAAGCCAGCUUACUGGACAGAUACUGACGCUAAAGCGCGAAAGCGUGGGUAGCAAACAGGAUUAGAUACCCUGGUAGUCCACGCCGUAAACGAUGAUUACUAGGUGUUGGGGGUCGAACCUCAGCGCCCAAGCUAACGCGAUAAGUAAUCCGCCUGGGGAGUACGUACGCAAGUAUGAAACUCAAAGGAAUUGACGGGGACCCGCACAAGCGGUGGAGCAUGUGGUUUAAUUCGACGCAACGCGAGGAACCUUACCAGCGUUUGACAUC
rnacentral:rRNA from 1 species